UACGAAGGGGGCUAGCGUUGCUCGGAAUUACUGGGCGUAAAGGGCGCGUAGGCGGAUAGUUUAGUCAGAGGUGAAAGCCCAGGGCUCAACCUUGGAAUUGCCUUUGAUACUGGCUGUCUUGAGUUCGGGAGAGGUGAGUGGAAUGCCGAGUGUAGAGGUGAAAUUCGUAGAUAUUCGGCGGAACACCAGUGGCGAAGGCGACUCACUGGCCCGAUACUGACGCUGAGGCGCGAAAGCGUGGGGAGCAAACAGGG
rnacentral:rRNA from 1 species